rnacentral:rRNA from 1 species
AUUGAACGCUGGCGGCAGGCUUAACACAUGCAAGUCGAACGAGCGGCGGACGGGUGAGUAAUGUCUGGGAAACUGCCUGAUGGAGGGGGAUAACUACUGGAAACGGUAGCUAAUACCGCAUACCAUCAGAUGUGCCCAGAUGGGAUUAGCUAGUUGGUGGGGUAACGGCUCACCAAGGCGACGAUCCCUAGCUGGUCUGAGAGGAUGACCAGCCACACGGGAACUGAGACAAGGUCCAGACUCCUACGGGAGGCAGCAGUGGGGAAUAUUGCACAAUGGGCGAAAGCCUGAUGCAGCCAGGCAGCGUGUGUGAAGAAGGCCUUCGGGUUGUAAAGUACUUUCAGCGAGGAGGCGUGACUCGCAGAAGAAGCACCGGCUAACGCCGUGCCAGCAGCCGCGGUAAUAC